rnacentral:sRNA from 1 species
UGAUAGUCUUUGCUAUUAUAUCGUGUA